AUCUUAGGAGGCGGGCCCGCGUCCGGGAAGCCGGGCUGGGGCCGUCCCGGCACCCGGGGUGGAGCGGGCGCCCUCAGCCCGUCUCGGUGCCGCUCUCCAUCGUCAGGGGCUCCCAUUACUCCCCAAGUGCAGACUCAAGUGCUAAACCAAGCUUUAGAAACGAAAAUAGCUCCAGGAACCAAACCAGACGGGAGAGCUGGAGGUGGAGCACACGGGUGACAGAGACUCACACUCGUGAUCCUCGGGAGAUGCUCUUGGUGUCAAUUUUCUUAAUAGUUCCUGAAGAGAAGAGAGCUCAUCCUGGAGGCCAGAGACUAUUCCACAUGGUGCAAGCCACGGGCAGUUUUCCCACCACCUGUUAUCCCCAGCGGACCCAGUUUGACGAAUGGAGUGCCCCCACUUCCUCCAGCCCUUUGCCUUUCCAGCUCUUUGUGCCCCUCCAGUCUGUUUUCCCUUCUCACCUGGACCUCAGGCCUUCCCCUCAGGCAUCACAUGGAGAACAAAAGUCCAAACUCAAGAGUGAGGUCCCCCAACCCCUUCCACAAACCCCAGCUUUCAUAAAUCAAAACCAAAUUUCAAAGUCCGAAUACAAGAAAAACAUUAAAAAACAGAAGUCACUCACCUGUCCACUCUUCUUCACACGCUCCCAGGGAGUGUUUCUCAGGAAGGUGAGGGUGUCGGGAACCCGGAUGCUGUCAUGCAGGGCAAGAAGGAAGAACUCCGAGAAUUCAAAUUCAGCCGGAAACUGAUGGAGGAGCUGCCAGACACAGUCCAGGAAGAGAGGGAACACCGCGGCCUAAGAAGAGAAAAAAGGGAUCUAAAGCCCAGGGAACUGAGUAGUAUGGCUGUGAGCCUGACGCAUCUGAGCGUUCACUCGGGUUACCUUAGCCCAGACCGGGUUCACUUCCAGUGGGUUCGGCUAUAUCAUUCUCUCGCCCUCAUUUCUUUAGUAAUGCCCCCCAAACAAAACCUAGUGUCCUCACCUCCUC